GACGAACGCUGGCGGCGUGCUUAACACAUGCAAGUCGAACGGAAAGGCCCUGCUUUUGUGGGGUGCUCGAGUGGCGAACGGGUGAGUAACACGUGAGUAACCUGCCCUUGACUUUGGGAUAACUCCAGGAAACUGGGGCUAAUACCGGAUAUGAGCUCUUGCUGCAUGGUGGUGGUUGGAAAGUUUCGGCGGUUGGGGAUGGACUCGCGGGUUAUCCGCUUGUUGGGGUGGUAGUGGCUUACCAAGCGUUUGACGGCUAGCCGGCAUGGGAGGGUGAACGGCGACAUUGGGACUGAGAGAGGGCCCAGACUCCAACGGGAGGCAGCAGUCGAGAGUAUUGCGCAAUGGGGGGAAGCCUGAUGCAGCGACGCCGCGUGCGGGAUGCCGGGCUUCGGGUUGUAAACCGAUUUCGCCGGUGAUGAGGCGUGCGUGACGGUAAUGGGUAAGGAAGCACCGGCUAACUACGUG
rnacentral:rRNA from 1 species